CCAAGAUCUACACAGAAUGUCCUGGCCUUCAUUGAAGAUGUUGAUGAGGCGGCGAAGGCGUCACGACAUGAUGGACCGAUACUCGUCCAUUGCUUAGAUGGCGCAAGCAAGACUGGUCUAUUUUGUGUGGUAUCACUCCUUCUACAGAGAGUUGCUGUGGACCAAGAAGUUAGCGUAGUGAAUGUUGUGAGAAAAGUAAGAACAAGGAGGAGGCUUGCUAUUCCGAACAAGGAACAGUUUCACUUCUGCCACGAGUGCGUGCUUGGAUAUAUCAACACGCGUGAGGGCAACACUUACUAUAACACUUGUGGAGGACUUGUACGAGGUCAAAACUAGUACAUGCACUGUCAAGACCUC